GUAAGUGCUCGUGUGUGACGUAAUAUGACUUAAUAAAUACCCACCCCUUCUGUCGUCACGUCCUCUUGGAGUUGGUGCCAUCUUAGAAAGACCAAUCUCCACAAAAUGAGAGCAAAGUGGAGGAAGAAGCGUAUGCGCAGGCUGAAGCGCAAGAGGCGAAAGAUGAGGCAGAGGUCAAAGUAAACUGGCCCCUCCACUGCAGCUGUGGUGACCUUCCCUGCUCUUUGUGCCCCCGUCAUCCGUGUGGCUUGCCUAGGACGGCCUCCCCACCAUGCCGUCUCCACCACGGGCCUCACUGUUGCGGAGGGAAGGCCGCAACCCUGCCCCCUGCCCGGUUGUUGGUCCUGCCUGGUGACGUGAGUUCGGUGACGAAGACCAAGGACACGGCGCUUCUCCGCGUGGCGCUCUGGACUGUUAACUUGCCCGGCACAGCUGCUUUGUUUGGAAGACCUCAAUUAAAUUUUUUUGGUUACAAAUCA